UCAGAUUUUCACCGCUAAAUUUCAGUUUCCCUCUACAUCUCUAUUCUAAACCCUACUCCCUCCUUCCCCAAUUGCAAAACACUCCAUCUCACCAAAACUUCCAGUAGUUGCAGGUUUCAUGUUUCAAAACUUAUCGUUUUUCUUCAAUAUCAUGCCACCAUACAUCCACUUCCUCAACUUCUUCUAAUUAUCCACUUACUCCACCAAUACCACUUCAUCUCCCAAAAAAAACCUAAUAUUAAUCGAUUCCGUACACUUCACCAACACCUCAAUAAUCCUCACCGAACCCCUCCCCCUACCUGCACAUCCCCAUCACCCCAAAAACCGGCCGCAUCCUUUACAUCUGCAUCCUUCACAUCCUCAUCGUCCACCAAAAUUAAAAGCCUCUAAAUCUCUGAUAUAUUUUCUUUAUACUAGGCCCAAAAUUGAAAGGCCCAAUCCUUACUAUGAAACUGUGAAAGAAAUGUGAAACUGUGUUAAAGGCGGAUAAUGAAUCGGACAUUCAGACGUACGAAGCGAAUGAAUCGAUUAGGAAUUGAUUACCCUCGUAACCUGCGGCGUCUGUUGAGUAACCAUCUUGGAAUCAGAUUAGGGUUUACCCCUGUGUUGUCAACUACAUAUACGUAAGCCGCCCCCUGCUCUAAUACAGUAGCUUCAGGGCAAGAUGAUCGAGAUGUCUGGUUCACUGUUCAUCCAUCGUCCGUUCAAUGUGGAUCGAGUCAUAACACGUGGAUUGCUCAAAGGGAAAUUUCCAGUUCAUGGCUCAAAGGCAGUAACCUGUAUUUCAUACUUGUUUGCAACUCCAACAAGCUUUAAAGACUCCAUACUACAACCUAAACAAUCUUGUUUUCAUAAAAUGAACUUGAUUUUACAUUGCAGAUUUAUCAAAAUACGAAGUUGAUUUUGGGAUUCAAAAGGUGAAGAGAUGCAGAAAGGAGUUGAAGAAUUCAUGGAGCUGAGACAACAAAAGCAAAACAAAGAAGAAAAAACAGCCGGUGGUGCUAGUUGACUUUAUUCGUCUAUUUGGAACCGUAAAAGUUGGGCCUCGCGUUUGUCUUCUUCAAAAAGUGGUGAUUUUGAUUCAGGUGAACUAGCUGUGGCAUUUGGUGUUAAUGUUACUUUGCACUUGAGAAGUAGUAGAGGAAGCAAUAAGCAAGUGGGGAUGGGCAAACUGUCUCCGAAAGAGAAAACGUCGAAAUUCUCAAAGCCGAGAGGCGGAUGAAUCUCUUGCUCAUAUUUGAAAUAGCAAAGUGUCAACUUCAAUGUCGUGUAUAGAUAUUGGGAAGGGAAUAGUUGAUGCUAUGGUGCAGAGAAUAUUGUGUUUCAGAAAUAAUGUGCCAAUGGCAUACCUACUCCACCAGCACACCCAAGAUAUAGUCAUGUGGCUGGACCGCUUGAUAUGGUCAAGGGGAAUAAUUUAAUAAGAACACCCAAGAUGCAACACCCUAAUGGAGAUGUGUUUGAUUAUGAGAACACCUCUGCAAAUGUUGAAGCUGCGAAAGAAUGGAGAGAAAGAAGAGAUGAAUUUGGGAAGAAAGUGGGAAGGUGUGUGAGGAAAUCACAAGAAUUCAUGUAAAACAGGUUAAAGGAUGUGGAGAAGCAUCUUGUGACUCCAUAUUCUCAUCAUUAAUCCGGAGAUACAUGUUGGACAUCAUGUCUGUUUGUCUUUCGGUCCUGGCUGGGUUUAUACUGAAUUCUUGAUGAAGAUGAAUAAUGACACCUUGUAUAAUAUAUUGGCAGAAUGUUUAGCACUUUAGUGGUAUACGUAGGUUUCCUUAUUCUUUAUCAUUUUUUUGUUUUAUAGUAGAAAAAUGUGAUUAUGAUGUUAUAGGGUUGCCUACUACAUGUUUAUUUCAAGUUUGGGGUGAUAUUUAUCAUGGGGCAGCUUUUUCUGGAUGAUUUUAGAGGAGGGUUUGAGAAUGGGCCGUGGUGGAUUACCAUCACAACAUGGCUGCUGGUAUUAAAUCUAGGUUCGACUAGACUAGUCUUCUGGUGUCAUGGUUAAUGAAGUAAGCCGGCAAUAUCAUAAAGGAGCUAGCUCAAAAGCACACUAGGAGUCUCUUCAGCUCUACGUGCCGGUUCUUCGACAACAUUCCUAUCCCCUUCAUCUUCUCUGAGAGCAGGCGAGUGAUCACCAUUUCUGAAAUCGGAGGAACUAGAAUCAUUCAAAGACAAGAAAGAAUUAGAAGCAAAACCUGUGAGUUAUUUGUACCCGUUUUCCAUUUGGUAUUUGCAUUGGCGAGCAUGUAUUCGGGCAUGCUUUUAUUGGGAUGGAGCAGUUCAGAAGCUUGGAUCUCAUUGAUGUCGGGUGACUGGUCAUCGAUUUUGCAAUCAAAUCUUGGAGCAUUUAUUCCACAGGCAAAACAAGUGGAUAUAAAUUUGCAACACUUUCAAGUCUAAAAGCAGUGAGUAUAUGGAUUCGAAGACAACAACCUAGAAUUAGUUCUUAGUUUAUGUGUAGAGGCAUUCCGUUUGAAACUUUUGUAGAUAGGUUUUGAUUAGAAGUUCAUGUUUUUAAUUAGUAUUGAAAUUGAAAACUUAUGUAUGGAUUUUGGUUUAUUAUUGUUAAUUAAUAUUAUUUGGUUUUUAUA